rnacentral:rRNA from 1 species
AUUGAACGCUGGCGGCAGGCCUAACACAUGCAAGUCGAGCGGAUGAAGGGAGCUUGCUCCUGGAUUCAGCGGCGGACGGGUGAGUAAUGCCUAGGAAUCUGCCUGGUAGUGGGGGAUAACGUCCGGAAACGGGCGCUAAUACCGCAUACGUCCUGAGGGAGAAAGUGGGGGAUCUUCGGACCUCACGCUAUCAGAUGAGCCUAGGUCGGAUUAGCUAGUUGGUGGGGUAAAGGCCUACCAAGGCGACGAUCCGUAACUGGUCUGAGAGGAUGAUCAGUCACACUGGAACUGGGACACGGUCCAAGCUCCUACGGGAGGCAACAGUGGGAAAUAUUGGCCAAUGGGCGGAAGCCUGAUCCAGCCAUGCCGCGUGUGUGAAGAAGGUCUUCGGAUUGUAAAGCACUUUAAGUUGGGAGGAAGGGCAGUAAGUUAAUACCUUGCUGUUUUGACGUUACCAACAGAAUAAGCACCGGCUAACUUCGUG